rnacentral:rRNA from 1 species
CCUACGGGUGGCAGCAGUAGGGAAUCUUCCACAAUGGGCGCAAGCCUGAUGGAGCAACGCCGCGUGGGUGAAGAAGGUCUUCGGAUCGUAAAACCCUGUUGUUAGAGAAGAAAGUGCGUGAGAGUAACUGUUCACUUCUCGACGUUAUCUAACCAGAAAGCCCCGGCUAACUACGUGCCAGCAGCCGCGGUAAUACGUAGGUGGCAAGCGUUAUCCGGAUUUAUUGGGCGUAAAGGGAACGCAGGCGGUCUUUUAAGUCUGAUGUGAAAGCCUUGGGCUUAACCGGAGUAGUGCAUUGGAAACUGGGAGACGUGAGUGCAGAAGAGGAGAGUGGAACUCCAUGUGUAGCGGUGAAAUGCGUAGAUAUAUGGAAGAACACCAGUGGCGAAAGCGGCUCUCUGGACUGUAACUGACGGUGAGGUUCGAAAGCGUGGGUAGCAAACAGGAUUAGAUACCCUGGUAGUC